UACGGAGGGUGCAAGCGUUAUCCGGAUUUACUGGGUUUAAAGGGUGCGUAGGUGGGUCUGUAAGUCAGUGGUGAAAUCUCCGGGCUUAACCCGGAAACUGCCAUUGAUACUAUAGAUCUUGAAUAUCCUGGAGGUGAGCGGAAUAUGUCAUGUAGCGGUGAAAUGCUUAGAUAUGACAUAGAACACCAAUUGCGAAGGCAGCUCACUACGGGAUUAUUGACACUGAGGCACGAAAGCGUGGGGAGCAAACAGG
rnacentral:rRNA from 1 species